GGAAAACACUUUUACGGUUAUUAAAAAAGUUCUGAUUUUGUUGCUUGAUAUCGUUUUCAUCGGUGCACCCCUAGGGCGUUUUUUUCUGGGUUACCUUGGCGACAAACACAACUACUCUGCUAAAAAUCGUUUUUUUUUUUGCAGUAAUUUAUAUCGUUGUACACCUUAUAUGUCAACUAUACCCGCCGACAACUGCAGUGGCGUAUAUACCGUGAGCAGUAUCAACUAUUUCAGAAGUUUUAUUAUGACUAUGUUGGAAAAUAUGACUAUAAUAGUGACGGUGUUGCUCACCGUUGCUUU